AUGAUGUCACUGGUUCUACUGAUGGUCACCCUGGGGCUCCUUGUUCAGGGUUCCUCAGGAGACAUCCUCCUGACUCAGACUCCUGGAUCUCUGUCUGUUGUUCUAGGACAAACUGUCUCUAUCAGAUGUAAAGCAAGUUCACAUGUGGACAAUGAGGUAGACUGUUAUCUUCAGAAACAUGGAGAAGCCCCUAAGCUCCUGAUUUGGUGGACUUCCAACCGUCAGUCUGGAGUUUCAGAUCGUUUCAGUGGGAGUCAGUCUGGAACUGACUUUACUUUGACCAUCAGUGGAGUCCAGACUGAAGAUUCAGGAGAUUAUUAUUGUCAGCAGGGUAGCAGCUACCCGUUCACACAGUGAUACAACAUCUUACAAAAACCUCCGUCAGCUGUAGAGGAACUGAUCUGACUGAACAGCUGCAGAGUAACAGAUGCACUUUACAACUUUGUCUGCUAACUAGGUCCAUAAAACAGAGAACAGUUUAUAGUAUAACUCUGUUUAUUGAUAAAUUUGUUUGAAAAGAGCAUUAAGAAAAUAAGUCUGAACAAACUACAUUGACUGAAGAUAAGCUGCAAAGUGAACACG